GAACCGGCCCUUUUUAGGGCCACCAAAUAAUUUGAAUCGAAGGAAU
rfam:Habropoda laboriosa contig4909, whole genome shotgun sequence.